rnacentral:rRNA from 1 species
AUAACGUAGCGAAAGCUACGCUAAUACCGGCAUACGAUCUAUGGAUGAAANCGGGGGAUCGCAAGACCUCGCGCGAUUGGGAGCGGCCGAUAUCAGAUUAGGUAGUUGGUGAGGUAAAGGCUCACCAAGCCGACGAUCUGUAGCUGGUCUGAGAGGACGACCAGCCACACUGGGACUGAGACACGGCCCAGACUCCUACGGGAGGCAGCAGUGGGGAAUUUUGGACAAUGGGGCGCAAGCCUGGAUCCAGCAAUGCCGCGUGCAGGAUGAAGGCCUUCGGGUUGUAAACUGCUUUUGUACGGAACGAAACGGUGAGCUCUAAUACAGUUUGCUAAUGACGGUACCGUAAGAAUAAGCACCGGCUAACUACGUG